CUAAUUCUAACUAAAAGUAAAAGAGGCGAUUGUGAAUUUACUGUUCACAAGCCGAAUUUGUGAUCUCAGCCACCUUGAAUUGAGCCAGUUUAAUUGAGCUACUUGGAAGUGAGCAUGUUGUGGUCAGCUGAGGCGAUUGAGUUGAGCCGAAUUAAGUGAGCUGCUUGGAAAUUGGUGGGUUUAUAUAUGGGAUCUUCUUGUCUUCUUUCUCUUUCUAAUAUUCACCAAAGGCUUCGUUUUUUCCUCUUUCUUUCUAGAUCUGAAAAUCAUUCUUAAAAUCUAUGAAGACUUGAGUAAAGAUUUUGGGAAUAUGUUUUCUUUUCUGGGUAAGCUUCAAAUUCAGUACAAUUUGUGGGAAUCUAUUCUCUUCUUCGGCUAAGUUUCAAGUUCCGGCGAUUUGUCUCUAUGUGUAUCUAUAGUUCAUUUUCUCUUUCAGUGAGCAUCAAUAAAUGUGUGACUUCUUGAAAGUCUCAAAUCUAACUCUGAGCACAAAGAGAAACCCAAAAAGGUAAAAUUAAGAAAAUAGGAGAAAAUUAUUUUUACAAAUUUAUAGUUUUUGAAAUGGAAUAAGAUGUACUGGGUUUUAUUUGAGUACUUCAUUUGAAGUUUCACCCGUUAAUUCUUUUUUUUUUUUUAUUGCAUGCGUUGGAAUUUUCCAGAUUAUUCUUUCUGGGUUUUGUUAAAGGUGGAGAUUGACAAUGACCCCACCGUUUGUUUUCUUCUUUUAAUCAUUUCACGGGAGGCUUGUGAAUUGUACCUAAUUUUUUUUUUUUACACUGCUUUCUAGAUUUGAAACAGAAAUUGCCCUCAUCACAUACAGCCUCUCCACCAUGAAAUUCUCCGACUUCUCCGCCUUGCGUUAUCUCGUACCAUGUUUUUCUACACCAACAUUUUCCACUUUAUUGAAGCACUUUUCAAGUUUAUUAAUCUUUAGCUUUGUUCUCAUUUCACAUCCAUGUUUGUUUGUUCGUUUUUGUUUUUAUUUUUUUUAUUUGUAAUUUGAAACCAAAUCCAUGUAAAAAUUUGGCCGGGGGGGGGGGGGGGGGGGGGGGUGUUAAGUGAACAAACCUCGAUGUUAUAUUUACUUGGUUGGAUCUUGAUUAGAUCUAAAUAAAUCAUUACAGACUUACUUUGAACUGUUUGAAAGAUUUUCUAUUGUUGUUUAUAUUUAUUUUGUUAGGUGGGUUUUGUGUUGUGAAUUUUCUUGAAUUGAAAUGGGUUGUGGAAGACAUGACAACUCAUAAACAAGCUUCGACAAUGGCAGAAGAUAUAUGGACAAGGGGGUGUUUGAUAGUCAUUCAUUUUUACGUAAAAAUACAUUUUAAAAUAGUAAAUCGGUGUGAAAUGUGUGAUUGAAAAAUAAGGAAAAGUUUUUUAUUCGCGUGUAAUAUUAUUUUAAUAAAGAAUAUGUGGUUGAAAAGAAGGGAAAAAAAUGCAUUUUGAAAAAAAAUGACUACCAAACGGGGCCUAAGUAUGAAUAUCAUUCUUGCAAGUUUUCUUAAUUCAUUUUUUACAAGUUGGCUUAAAUGUUAAUUUUGAGGGAACAACUAUUGCCGCCCCAAAUUUGGGAGACCACAAAAUAAGAUACCUUAUUAGAAGAAGAAGGGCAAAUGCUCGAAUUAGAUUGCCUAAUUUUUUUAAGAGACUUUAUUGCAAGAAAAAUUCUUCUUCGAAUAUGGAGAAGAAGUAUUACUAGGAGAAUCAUUAAAACCCUAUGAAAUAAAUUAAAAAGAAACAGAAUCAUAAUUUAUCUCAAAAGUUUAAAUAUUGUUAAUAAGUUCAAGAAAUGUGAAUUAAAGGCUAGAACCUGAAGAAAUUUUGGGCAUCCUAGUCAGCAAAAAUGGUACAAAGUUAUCACAAAAUUCUUGGAGGGAAAAACAAAGAGAGAGCUACUAUAGCAGUUGUGCUUGUGGAGGUAUCAAGAACAUGGGUUUGUUGUCACUGGCAAAAAAUGUCACAUUUUCGUACAAGGAUUCUCUUUCCGCUUUCUUUAAUUGAGAUGAUGCUCCACUACACCACCUCCUCACACACAAUACCGUUGAAUUUUUUGAUACAAAACUCUUCCUCAAAUAGCAAUGUAUUGGAGGUACAAGAGGAGACAAAAAGCUUACAGCUUCUUUCUCUCUGCAUUUUCUUUAGUUUGUGGGUGUUUCUCUCACAAGCACAUUUCACAGCUGAGAGUUCCAUAUAUUUCUUUAAUAGCCUAUUCGAGGAGGUUAUUACAUUCUUAUCUUUAAAGUAAAUGCAUCCACUUUAUAUAGGGAAUGUAUAUUUCGAACAUAAGUAAAAAAAAAAAAGGCUUCAGUGUCUAAGAAAAAUAAAAGAUGAAGAGAAGGGCGCAUUGACAAUGCGAAAUUGGAUAUCAACAUACAG
rnacentral:lncRNA from 1 species